CCAGACUCCUACGGGAGGCAGCAGUGGGGGAUAUUGCACAAUGGGGGGAACCCUGAUGCAGCGACGCCGCGUGAGCGAUGAAGUAUUUCGGUAUGUAAAGCUCUAUCAGCAGGGAAGAAAAUGACGGUACCUGACUAAGAAGCCCCGGCUAACUACGUGCCAGCAGCCGCGGUAAUACGUAGGGGGCAAGCGUUAUCCGGAUUUACUGGGUGUAAAGGGAGCGUAGACGGCAGUGCAAGUCUGAAGUGAAAGGCAAGGGCUCAACCCUUGGACUGCUUUGGAAACUGUGCUGCUGGAGUGUCGGAGAGGCAAGUGGAAUUCCUAGUGUAGCGGUGAAAUGCGUAGAUAUUAGGAGGAACACCAGUGGCGAAGGCGGCUUGCUGGACGAUGACUGACGUUGAGGCUCGAAAGCGUGGGGAGCAAACAGGAUUAGAUACCCCAGUA
rnacentral:rRNA from 1 species